GCCGGGUGUGGUGGCGCGCGCCUGUAAUCCAAGUUUCCUGGAGGCUGAGGCUAGAGGAUGGUUGGAGCUCAGGAGCUCUGAGCUGCAGUGGACUAUGCUGAUCAGGUGUCCGCACUCAGUUUGGCAUCGAUAUGGUCUUCCUGGGGGAGCCCGGGACAAUCAGGUCGUCUAAGGAGGGGUGAAACGGAGCAGGUCAAAGCCCGCGUGCCGCUCAAUGGUGGGAUCGC
rnacentral:SRP_RNA from 1 species